rnacentral:rRNA from 2 species
CUCGUAUUUGGAAAUCACGCCGGGGCUCGCGGGGGGGACGUGCCGCAAGGCGCGCUUCCUGUCCCCGCCCGUCCCCGGCGGCGAGACUGUCGGAGCCCUGCGGACGCUCUUGGAUGAGUGUCCGUUGCGGGCCGGAAGCGUUUACCUUGAGGAAACUGGAGUGCUCAGAGCGGGUCGGUAGAGCCUGUACACCGCAGCUGGGAAUAAUGGAAUAGGGCCUCGGUCCUAUUUUGUUGGUUUUGCGGGACGGAGGUCAUGAUUGAGAGGGACUGCCGGGGGCAUUCGUACUGCGCCGCGAGAGGUGAAAUUCUGGGACCGGCGCAAGACGGACUAAAGCGAAAGCAUUUGCCAAGAAUGUUUUCCUUAAUCAAGAACGAAGGUCGGAGGCUCGAAGGCGAUCAGAUACCGCCCUAGUUUCGACGGUAAACUAUGCCGACCGGCGAUCGGGCGGCGUCGAAUGGCAUGACCCGUCCGGCAGCCAUGAGGGAAACCAGGAGUUUCUGGGUUCCGGGGGGAGUAUGGUUGCAAAGCUGAA